rnacentral:rRNA from 1 species
UACGAAGGGGGCUAGCGUUGCUCGGAAUCACUGGGCGUAAAGCGCACGUAGGCGGCUUUUUAAGUCAGAGGUGAAAUCCUGGAGCUCAACUCCAGAACUGCCUUUGAUACUGGAGAGCUUGAGUCCGGGAGAGGUGAGUGGAACUGCGAGUGUAGAGGUGAAAUUCGUAGAUAUUCGCAAGAACACCAGUGGCGAAGGCGGCUCACUGGCCCGGUACUGACGCUGAGGCACGAAAGCGUGGGGAGCAAACAGG